rnacentral:lncRNA from 1 species
CUGAAGACACUGGAGAGCCCUUGAGGACCACUGGCCUGACAGUGACGACUAGAGGCAAACAGGAGAAGAUCAAAUACUUGCUUUCCCAGCCUCUCUUGCUGCCAGGGAGCCAGCAUUCGAGCCGGGCUCAGCCAGUCGGACACACCUUCCAACUCUGAAGCUGAUUAGAAGCAAGUCCAAAAGGGAGAUAGAAAGAGAAGGAGGAGAGCAGGGUCUGGCUCUUUUACCAAUUUGGACUUGAAAAAGAAAGAGAAGAAAAGAAAACACACCGCGUAUUCUGAGACAUCUAACCAGCCUUUCUGUGUUCCAUGAGGGAAAGGGAAGUCGAGCUGUUUUGCAAUAAUUCCUCCAAGUCUUCAGACUCUGGCAGCACAAGAAAAAUACUAAGGAGCAGAGACCACACCUUUCCCACAUUGAGUUCAGUGGAACAUGAACUCAGCUGCCUGCGUCGUUCUUCAAAGACACAGCUGCAGGAUAGCUUCAGCUGCACUGGUUUGGAAACCCUCAAAAGUGGGCCAAGACUCUUAGGCUGGUUUCAGCACAGUUGUUAUUCCUAGCCCCGCCCACAGGAAAAGGGCAGGUCCUGAAGACUGUUGUUGUAGAUAUUGGAUAGGAGAACAAACCAAGAUGGUGGCACUGGCCAUUAUAGGUGGAAUGCAUGGGGUGACUUGGCCUUCCCUGCCUCCUGGCCCCUCCUUUGUACACCUUCUCUCCCAAGCUCAAAGAUGUGUAUUGUGCUAGGAGGAAAAUUACAAGAGAGUUUGGCUUACUUGUUACUGGGGCAACACCUACAAGACUAACUGCAGCGAAGGUGGGAAAAGGCCUAGAAAAAUCUGAUGAUGUAAACAGUUUGAGAGCUUCCAGUGAAACCUGUCUCGCAGGGCCAGUGCCACACGUUAUACUCAGUUCUUCACUCUCAACAGAGAAAAGGGCCUUCUGGUUUGCUGUUUCCUCUCUCUAGUCUUACUCUUUUUGUAUCCUGGAGGCCUCCAAUUGUGGGGGAAGGCAGAAUUCUCCCCACCCCCACCUUUUCCCCUCCUGGUUCUUAUGACUGGUCGAAUAAUUAAACUGGCAUAGGGCAGGUUAGCAGGAGAAAAUUAAACCACAUUUAAUACAUAUGCACUGGGAAUUCACAUAAGCAUGAAGAAUUCCAAAGACAGUCAGGCAAAAUGAGGUAGAUAUGUCUUUCUGGACUAAGGAGAAGGAGAUAGAGUUCUGAAACUUCAAAGGGAGAGAAGGCAAUUUACAGAAAGAUGGAAAGAGUUAAUAUUUGGUAAACAAAUAUUUGCUGGGCCAUCUACAGAUGAUGGGACCCAAGGAGAGAACUUUGAUAAAAUGGGCCUUGCUAGGUGCCUUUCCAUCUCUCACACCUGGUUCAUAUUAUACUGGAGUUAUCUAAGGUGAUAGCUCCUUCCUGGGACAGGCCUUUCUAUCAAAUUCUUUUAGGUAAUUAGGGGGAAGGUCAAAGGUUCUUCCCGAGUCUUCUGAUCCUUGAUUAUUUUAAGCUCGAAAUAAUCCGCAUACCAGAGUGGCACAUUCUGGGUUGGCCUGCCCUCAACCCCAUCACAAGCCUUAUCCUGGAGAGAACACAUUCACCCAUCUGAGCAAUAAGUGCUAUAGAAACACUUGGGAUGCGGAUGUUAUGUUCUUCGUUUUGACUGGCUUCUUUUUAACUUGCCCUCAGCAUGAUUUCACUGCACUCUUUAUUUGCAGCUGCUUUAAGGAUGUCAAGCUGGGCCUCCGUCCCAUAAUUCCUCCAGGUGAUUUAAAGGUGACAGUCUCCCAGGAAGAAGCUUUCCUGUCUGGGACUUCCCACCAGACCUCAUUUCCGAGCAUUGCUGCAGUCCUGAAGUGAGACCCUCCAGUCUGGACUUGCCUGAGACAGAUGGAGGCUGGGCCAGCCCUACCUGCCCUGCUCCUGCUCAACCUGUAUAUCUCCUCCUGCUGUAAUUGCAUAUCCUGGAGAACAGCCAGGAUCUUCCUGCAGAGCCAAAGCCUCAGAGGGAAUUUCGCUGGCAGUUACACACCCUCAGGUUCCCAGGGAGGAAUGCAGCCUGUUGGGAAGGUGUUCAUUCUCGGGCAUCAGCAGAGCAUCUGGUCAAUCACACAUACAUGUGUGUACAGGAGGGGCUCUUCCCUUCCCUCCUCUUUCCCAUCAUUCUCUCCACUCCCUCCUCCACUCCCUCAGCCCUAGUACACAUAGCCUCAACCUGAACAUCACAGUUGCCACAGGGGAACAAGAGUGCAGAGAGACUGCUCCAGAUAAAGUUAUUUCUCUUAGUUUCGGCGAUGCUGCCCUCAAGCAGAAUUCUGACUGCCGUGCUGGUUUAAGUUCUCUUCCUUCUCUUCCCAGCUCAGACUCAAGAUUUGGACUUCCUUGCCUGGAUCUGUGGCUCAAGGGGAGCUGGAAUGACUCUCAAAUAUAUCUCCCUCGUGAUAGGGGAGCUGGGGGACACCACCGAGGCCUAAAUUUUUCCCGUCAAGUUGCUACAGCAUCUGAAAUUCCCAUGAAUCUUGCAGCACUUUAAAAAGAUAAUCCUGUGGGAGGACUAAGAUAGCAACCACUGGUGAAUACUUUAAGUGUAUCACUGAGUUGGAAGUUUCUUCAUAACACCCAGCUAAGGCUCAAGAUUCUUGGAGGAAGAGUGCUUCUGGAAGAUACCGGUUACCUGAGGAGGCCUAGCCCUGGGGAGAAUUGCCCAGAUGACAAGGAUAAGCCUCACUUUUCCCUGGCAGGGCAGGCCUGUGUCUACCUCCCUCACCCUGCUAUGGCUCAAGGGUCCUCUGAGAGAAUGUCCUAGAAGUAGUUCUCAAAGUAUGGUUCUCAGCCUUGUGGUGGUCUUAGAAAGUCUUCCAAGAGGACUGCAGACUGGUUCCAAUAACGUGGUUGUGGUUCCUCAGUAUAAUACCCCACCCUCGGACUCCAAAUGACGUUGGAGAGUUACAUCUGGGGUGCCCUAUUCUAGGCGAGGGAUUGCAGCAUCCUAUAAGCAUCAUCCUCAUCAUUAUAGAGCAUUUCUCUAGAUUUCAUGAAUUCCGCCUUCGACAUUCAUUCAUUCAAUGAGCUUUUAUCAAAUAUCUUUUUUUCUGUGUGCACCAUGUUAGGACAGGAGACAAUAAGAUAGGGCUCCUGUCUUUCAAAAGAGAGUAUUUACCCUAAGGGGGAAAAUGCAUGGGUCAAGCAAUAAUUACUGACAACAUGGAACAAUUCUCUAAAUACUGACAGAGGAAUGCAAAAACGCUAGGGGACACAACCCACGUCUGCAGGUGCCAAACACGUUUUUCCAGAACAGGUGACUUGCAGUGGAGUUUUGAAGUUGACCUUAUAGAUAAGAAGGAAGACUUCUCAAGAGGCAGGAUGCAGUGACCUGUUCUUGACAAUGUGGAGUAUGAACUUGCUGAACUUUACUCCUUCCUUCAUUGGUUCAAAAACUAGAUUUUUGAAGGAAGCAGCAUUGGUUUGAGACUUGAAGGAUAGAUCCUAUUUGGAUAUUUAGAGAUGAGGGAGGGAUAGGCAUCCUAAGCUAAGGGACCAGCAGAAUAAAGGAAGUGGGGAGUGAGUUGUUCAGUUCAGAGUAUACGGAGAGGGAUGGGGAGAAGUUCGGGUGGAAUCAGACCUUCUCACUCCUUGGCCAAUCCACCAUCUCAUCCUAUCAAUUCCACCUUCCAAACACAAUGAAUCAGGAGCAGAGUUCCGAAUUCAGAUCUCAUCUGUCCUCUGCUCUCAGUCCUUGUUGCCACUGCCUAGUUCAUUCAGACCCUCAUCUUCCCUUUGCCUCCCCUCUCAACUGGGCUCCCUGCCUCUAGCUUCUACUCCUUUCCGUUCAUUAUCCAAACCACUGUUAAGGUUAUUUUCUUAAAAGGCAAGUUGUACUCUGUCAUUUUUCUGCAUGACAUAUCUCAAUAUCUCACCAUCAUUCAGGAUAAUCCUCAACCCUUAGAAUGGCUUAUAUUAUAAGGCUGUUUGUGAUCCAGCCCCUGCCUACCUCCCAGGUUCUAUAUCCAUUGCUCCCACCUGGCACCCUAUCUCACAUACACCAAACUCCAAAUAUGUUGUGUGGUUUCAUGCCUUAAGGCCUUUGCACAUGCUGUUCCUUCUCCCUGGAAAAUCCUUCUGUGUCUUGUCUUCUCGGCAAACUCAUAUUCAUCCUUUAAACAGGGACUCAACUAUCACCUCCCUCAACCUUCUUGUACAGAGUUAAUCACUGCUAUUCCUUAUUCAUAUUGUUACUCUUAUCACUCUGUGGCUGGAAUGAGCUCUUCACAGUAUGCUCUUCUGCCAGAUGCUGAGCAGCUUCAGGGCAG